rnacentral:rRNA from 1 species
AUUGAACGCUGGCGGAAUGCUUUACACAUGCAAGUCGAACGAUGAAGCCUAGCUUGCUAGGUCGAUUAGUGGCGAACGGGUGAGUAAUAUAUCGGAACGUAUCCAAUAAUGGGGGAUAACUAGUCGAAAGAUUGGCUAAUACCGCAUACGUCCUACGGGAGAAAGUUGGGGAUCGUAAGACCUGGCGUUAAUGGAGCGGCCGAUAUCUGAUUAGCUAGUUGGUGAGGUAAAUGCUCACCAAGGCGACGAUCAGUAGCUGGUCUGAGAGGACGACCAGCCACACUGGAACUGAGACACGGUCCAGACUCCUACGGGAGGCAGCAGUGGGGAAUUUUGGACAAUGGGCGAAAGCCUGAUCCAGCCAUUCCGCGUGAGUGAAGAAGGCCUUCGGGUUGUAAAGCUCUUUCGCAAGGGAAGAACACUUACUUAAUAACACUAAGUGAGGUUGACGGUACCUUGAUAAGAAGCACCGGCUAACUACGUGCCAGCCGCCGCGGUAA